rnacentral:tRNA from 1 species
UGCGGUUGGGAGGCAGAGAGUUCUUUCUAGUCUCAUAAGCUAGAGUAAGAUGGGUGCGAUACCCAUAGCCGCAACCA